rnacentral:rRNA from 1 species
CGCAGUACUCUGACUGUGCAAAGGUAGCAUAAUCAUUUGCCUUAUAAUUGAAGGCUAGUAUGAAUGGUCUGACGAAAGCUAUGCUGUCUUUUAUUAAAUAAAAUGAAAUUGACCUAUAGGUGCAAAGGCCUAUAUAAAACUAAAAGACGAGAAGACCCUAUUGAGCUUAAAAGAUUUAGUAAAGUAUAGUAUAUCACACGAAAUUUUAACUCUUAAAAAUUUUUAGUUGGGGCGACUUUGGAACAAUAGCAACUUCCGAAUAUAUAAAAUACUUUUAAAUAUUGAUCCAAAAAAUUUUGAUUUAUAGAAUUAGUUACCUUAGGGAUAACAGCAUAAUCUUUCUUAAGAGUUCUAAUCGAAAGAAGGGAUUGCGACCUCGAUGUUGGAUUAGGGUAUCCUAAGGGUGCAGAAGCUCUUAAAGGUUGGUCUGUUCGACCAUUAAAAUCCUACAUGAUCUGAGUUCAAACCGGAC